rnacentral:rRNA from 1 species
CAUACGGGUGGCAGCAGUGAGGAAUAUUGGUCAAUGGGCGCGAGCCUGAACCAGCCAAGUAGCGUGAAGGAUGACUGCCCUACGGGUUGUAAACUUCUUUUAUAAAGGAAUAAAGUGAGGCACGUGUGCCUUUUUGUAUGUACUUUAUGAAUAAGGAUCGGCUAACUACGUGCCAGCAGCCGCGGUAAUACGGAGGAUCCGAGCGUUAUCCGGAUUGAUUGGGUGUAAAGGGAGCGUAGAUGGGUUGUUAAGUCAGUUGUGAAAGUUUGCGGCUCAACCGUAAAAUUGCAAUUGAUACUGGCAGCCUUGAGUACAGUUGAGGUAGGCGGAAUUCGUGGUGUAGCGGUGGAAUGCUUAGAUAUCACGAAGAACUCCGAUUGCGAAGGCGGCCUACUAAACUGCAACUGACAUUGAUGCUCGAAAGUGUGGGUAUCAAACAGGAUUAGAUACCCCAGUAGUC